UGGCACCAUUCAAGCAAUGACAUUUUGAGAAUUAAAACAUAGCCAAGUCUGAAAGCAGGACACACCAUCACUAACUCAGGAGAACCUUGACAUGAAACAAUGCCCCCCUGCCUUUCCUCUUGCUUCUCUUUGCCUGUUUGUUUAAUCAAAUUACGCUACAGCCAUCCUACAACUGCACAGUGAUUUCUGAAAGGACUCCACUGGAGUUCAUUCCAUUUGCAUCAGUCAAAGAAGCUGUCUUUCCCUUCAAAUUGCCUUCCCUAUAGCCUUCAAAAUUGGAACAAGGGAUGGCUUUUGUCUUCCAGCCUUACCAGGAAGAUGAAAGUGAAACAGUUCCCUUCUCUCUGCAGCCGGUCUGCACACGAUGAUCUGCCCAGGAAACUGAAGAGGAGAUUAGAACACAGACAUGACCAUGUAAGGACACAGGGAGAAGGCGGCCGUCUGUAAGCCAAGGAGGGAGGCUCAGAAGGAACGAACCCUGCUCACACCUGGAUCCCAGACUUCUAGCUUCCAGGACGGAGAAAAUAAAUGUUGUUGAAGCCGCCUACCCUAUGGUACUUUAUUAUGGAAGCCCUAGCACACUAAUACAUUAAGCAAUUCCUGACUAUGCAGCCAGCUCUACUCCAGGGAAGAGAAGGCUCAGUCUCUCCCUUCAAAGAGUCUGUUUCUGGAUGCUGGCAGUCAUUCAGAAACAUUUGCUGAGCACCUCGUACCUGCUGAAUGAACCCACGUGAAGGGGAGCCAGGAGUGCGGAUCAUUAAAAAGCCUGUACUUUCUCAGUCCCCAUUUGACACCACAGAGAGAAAAUGCAUGCUCCUGAUUUGGGUAGAUCUAGAAUGUUCUUAUGAAUAUGGACUUUCUCCCGCCUGAUAACAUCUAAAUGACUCAUGCCUACACCACCUGGAGAGCUCAGGGAAGGCACGGUUUGUUCAGGCCACCCUCACUCCAAGGGCCAGCCCUUUUUUGGAAUAGAAACUAAAAGUUGGUAGCUUCCAUUUGUAGUUCCAUCUAACAGAAGAGCCGACCCACUCACAUUAGCUGGCUCACGACUAAGGCAACCAAUGCCUCCCAGAACAUAGACUCAACUGGCAACCCCGGCACUGAAGGUCAAGGUGAGUCAAAGACACUCAUGCAGAAGGGUGGAUGCUCUUCCAAGUGUGACUGGCUGGCCUGCACGGCUCACUGCCUCCCCUCCUCCCGUCAAGAUGCAGCUUCAGUUUAAACCACCUUCGUUCCAUUCAUCAAAGAGGAAUAUUUACUGUUAUUGUAAUGACUCUUCUCACAGUACACAAGGCUACACCUGAAACACACAGGCCUUUCAGAAAGCACAAAGGAGCAUUGUGCAAGCCCCUGCCCAGUGAGAUGGAUGGGGGCGUAGACACGCCAGUUAACAGCCGGGCUUUGCAGGCCAGCAAGACUUAUCUGUGGCCGCACCAUGGCCACUGAGCUUGUACCUUUCUUCUUUUAAAAAUUGCUCCUUCAUUAUAAGCAGAGUUAAAUACCUGCACAUGUGAUUUGUGUUGAAAUAAUAAAGCAACAAACACACAUCAAGCUGAGGAGAGAAUCUUGGCUAAGGUAGGAAGUCGUGGGUCUGGUCUCAGUCUGUGCUGCUGACCAACUGUAAGAACUCAGAACUCACUGUCCACUCAGGACCACAGUGUCUCAUCUGAAAGGACGAGGAGACUGGAACACACCAGAGCCAUGGUUCUCAAUGUGUGGUCCAGAGGCCCUCGGGGGUCCCUGAGCCUCUUUCUGGGGAUCUGUGAGGUCAAAACUACUUUCACAAGUAUGGUUUGCCUUUUUCACUCUCACUCUCUCAUGCUUGAACAAUGGAAUCUUCUAAAGGCUUCCUGACACGUGAUGCUACAAUGGAUGGAAUCCAGAGGUGGAUAGGAGAAGCCAGCUGCCUUCUAUUAAACCAGAAAUGAAGAACAUUUGCAGAAAUGUACAACAAUGCCAUGCUUCCCAUUAAUUAUUUUGUUCUUGCUUUAGAAUAUGUCACUUUUCAUUGAAAAAUGUUACUCAUGAUUUUAUGUAAAAGGUUUAUUGUUGUUACUUUUAAAUACAUAUUUUAAGUGUUUUUUAGUUUUGAUUUCUAAUAUGGCAAAAAUUGGUAAAAUCACAUACACAAGGGCUUUUGGGGAUCCUCAAAACUUUUUAAGAGUGUAAAGGGAUCCAGAGACCAAAAGUUUGAUAACCACUAACCAAAAACUUUGACAACCAUCAUCUUGAAGGGUCCUUGGACUUUCUGGAAUUUGGAUCUCCCUUGCCUUGUUCAGUUUUCUCUCUUUUUAGCCAUCUCGUACUUACUGCCAUUUCAGUUCCUAUGUACCUGACUUAUUAAUUAUGCUUAUUGUUUACCAUGUGUGUUCCCCUCCCAUAUAAACUCCAUGAGGACUGAGAUAUUUGUCCAUGAUGUUCAUCAGUGCAUCCCAGGCUGCCUAGAACUGGGCCUGGCCCUUAGCAGGCACUUGUUUUUGGAUGGGAGGGAGGAGAAGGGAGGGGAGAGGGCAAGUUCUUUCAGUGUCUGUAUAAUGGACAGAGCAAGGUGUACCACCUCGGUGUGAUAGAAGAGAUGGAGACAGGAGAAAGGAAGCUCUGCACAGGAUCACGUGGUAGGUGGCAAAGUCAGGGCUCCAUCACAGCUUCUGUUGUCACAUGACUCUGUUAUCUGACCCUUUAAGGCAGCCCCUUCUGCUCCAACAGAGCUUCAGGGUAACUGAGUGCCCCGCAAUUGGUGUUAGC
rnacentral:lncRNA from 10 species